CUGGCUCAGGAACAACGCUGGCGGCGUGCCUAAUGCAUGCAAGUCGUACGGGAGCCGCUUUGGCGGUCGACCGUGGCGGACGGGUGAGGAACACGUGGGUAACCUGCCCCGGCGCGGGGGAUAACCGCGGGAAACCGUGGCUAAUACCCCAUGGGCUCGGUUGGGGGGUGGCCUGAUCGAGCAAAGGCGGAAGCCGUGCCGGGAGGGGCCUGCGGCCUAUCAGCUAGACGGUGGGGUAAUGGCCUACCGUGGCGAUGACGGGUAGCUGGUCUGAGAGGACGAUCAGCCACACGGGGACUGAGACACGGCCCCGACUCCUACGGGAGGCAGCAGCAAGGAAUUUUCCGCAAUGGGCGCAAGCCUGACGGAGCGACGCCGCGUGGAGGAUGACGCCCUUCGGGGUGUAAACUCCUUUUCGGGGGGACGAAGGCAGUGACGGUACCCCCGGAAGAAGCACCGGCUAACUACGUGCCAGCAGCCGCGGUAAGACGUAGGGUGCGAGCGUUGUCCGGAGUUACUGGGCGUAAAGGGCGCGUAGGCGGCUGCCCGCGUCGCACGUGAAAGCCCCCGGCUCAACCGGGGAGGGUCGUGCGAGACGGGGUGGCUAGAGGCAGGGAGAGGCUGGUGGAAUUCCCGGUGUAGCGGUGAAAUGCGUAGAGAUCGGGAGGAACACCGGUGGCGAAGGCGGCCAGCUGGCCCUGACCUGACGCUGAGGCGCGAAGGCGCGGGGAGCGAACGGGAUUAGAUACCCCGGUAGUCCGCGCAGUAAACGCUGUGGACUAGGUGUGGGAGGUGUUGACCCCUUCCGUGCCGGCGCUAACGCAGUAAGUCCACCGCCUGGGGAGUACGGCCGCA
rnacentral:rRNA from 1 species